AUAUCUUUCUCGGCCUCUUGGCUAAGAUCAAAUGUAGUAUCUGUUCAUAUCAGUUUAAUAUCUGAUACAAGGAUCUACGGAUCCAUGAGGUAUUAAUUUAAUCUUUUAUGGGAAGGUUUCGGCUUUGUUGUCGAGCCCUUGAGUGUUGCUUGGGCAUUGCAUUGAAGCCUUGGUUGACGCAUCCCAA